rnacentral:rRNA from 1 species
GUACUGUGCAAACGUUAUUCGGAAUCACUGGGCUUAAAGGGUGCGUAGGCGGUGAUUUAAGUAGGGUGUGAAAUCCCUCGGCUCAACCGAGGAACUGCGCUCUAAACUGAAUCACUUGAGUAAGAUAGGGGUGUGCGGAACUUCCGGUGGAGCGGUGAAAUGUGUUGAUAUCGGAAGGAACGCCAGUAGCGAAAGCGGCACACUGGGUCUUAACUGACGCUGAGGCACGAAAGCCAGGGUAGCGAACGGGGAUUAGAUACCCCGGUAGUCCUGGCUGUAAACGAUGAGCACUAGUCGGAAGGCGCUUACGCAUUUUCCAACGUAGCAAACGUAUUAAGUGCUCCGCCUGGGGGAGUAUGGUCGCAAGGCUG